rnacentral:rRNA from 1 species
AACGAACGCUGGCGGCAUGCCUAACACAUGCAAGUCGAACGAUCACUUCGGUGAUAGUGGCGCACGGGUGCGUAACGCGUGGGAACCUGCCUUUAGGUUCGGAAUAACUCAGAGAAAUUUGAGCUAAUACCGGAUAAUGUCUUCGGACCAAAGAUUUAUCGCCUUUAGAUGGGCCCGCGUUAGAUUAGCUAGUUGGUGAGGUAAUGGCUCACCAAGGCGACGAUCUAUAGCUGGUCUGAGAGGAUGAUCAGCCACACUGGGACUGAGACACGGCCCAG